CCAACUCUGCCAGCUCACUCCCUUUCAGUCAAGUAAGGACAGACAUCAAGUCCCAAAGUCUUUCUCCUGGAAUAAGCCCCAGUAGGGAACUGGGGGAAAAACUUGCUUUCUAAGCCAAGUUCUCCAACCGCAUCCCCUACCGGUCCUCUGGAAGCACAGGUCGUGCCGCUGAAGUGAGCAGAGCGUUAAAGGAGUCACUAAGCAACCAAGGGUUUACUCAACCUUUGUCCGUUCUCCCGACGCAACCCCCUCAGACCCGGGCCAGUGAGCAGGGAGCGCGGGGUAGAGUUUCAGGGUAAUCCCUGGACGGGUCCAGCAGGAAACCGCCUCUUGCAAGAACACCACACGCACGCUCUGACCCGAGGCAAUGCUGCUGGAAAAGCCGGAGGGCGCCAAGUAACUACUGCCCGGCAGGGAGCACAAACAGCCGCCCAAAAGCGAACUCCUGGGUCCACCUGAAGAGGGAGAAGCCGCCUCGUCGCCUGGGCAACGGUCCCCACUCCUAGCCCCACUUCUGCCUGUAGUUCACGUGGAGCGAAGGCUGCACUUGAUUUCAGAGUGAAGGGAACCCCAAGGAAAGGAUGUCAAGGCCAGUGGUUCUGGAGAGCACAGAAGGGACAGGCCGGGAUUCAGCUCCAGGGAACUAUCUGCAGAGACAACCCAUCUGCUCAGAGAAAGGGAUGCUUUCACACCAGGGUUGAGAGGGAACACAGAUGGGAAGGUCAGCCACAAGAAAGAGAAGAUGAUGACCGGUAUAACAUUGUCCUCACAGUUGUUAUGGAAAAUAGUAUGCUGAUCCUUCAAAAAAUUAAAAUUAGAAUCACUA